GCUCUUUACGAAUACGAAGAGAAGAAAAAGAGGAGAUGGGAAGAAGAAAAUGUGUAUCGCGCGCGCAUCAGGCACUUUUCAGUGUUGUCCUCAAGCGUGAGCAGUGUGUACCACGCAAAUGAAGCGCGCCGGCCUUACGCGGAAUUUUGGCCAAUAUUUUCUCUUUUUCAUGCCCCGCGGACGGCUAGAGAAGGAAUUUGAUAUAAUUAAUGGAGGUGAUGUCAAAAUUCAGAUCGUCGUCCCACUGUGCGGUGCGCGCGGCCGCUCACUUCGUCGAGUUGGAAGGAGUCGAAAGAAAAUCGGCGGGAGACAGGUGGAGCUCGCGAGGAGGAGUCUCCUCAUACCAAUGUCCCUUGGGCGCCGAGUUGAGCUGAUGUAUUCGUCAAGCAAAAGUACAUGCCUAGCCGCCAAAUUGUAUCAAGAUUAUUUGACGUAAUUAGCAUCACGAGCAACGACCUAACCUUGCCCUUUGCAAUCUCGGCCCGUCUCUCCGCAUUUGGGCGGACAAUUUGAGCCGGAGCUUUUACUAUCACCUGCGGAGGAGCUGAGCUUAUUUUCGUCGGGGCUGUGAGAGAAUUCCAAGCUGACAACGCGGUUUUGCUAGCCUGCUGAACGCUCCACUUGCGCCUCCGUUGUCUCCAGUCUUCUCCGCACGUAUACCAGUAGCGCUUAAAAGGAGAUAGGAGCGGUGGAUUUUACAGCUCAUAGAGUCGCAGGCAUCCAGGGAUCUUUUAGUCGGCUUACGUAAGGCUGCCGUUUCUACAGAUCUUCAAGACGCAGUCGUGGCGCUAAGGAUCCCCGCGGGUAUGGAUUGCUUCCAAAUGGACUUUGGAUAAAGUGUGUAUACCCUCAUGUUGCCGACGUGAUGUAAUCGCAUAUGAAUAGGCUAUGUCUGCAAUAAAAUUUGAGAAAAACUA